GACGAACGCUGGCGGCGUGCUUAAUACAUGCAAGUCGAGCGAGGUUACUGUUUUGGAUCCCUUCGGGGUGAAGAAGCUUUAACCUAGCGGCGGACGGGUGAGUAACGCGUGGGUAACCUACCCCAAAGUCCGGGAUAACAGCGGGAAACCGCUGCUAAUACCGGAUGCCUUUACCUUGGGGCAUCUUGAGGUAAAGAAAGGUAACGCUUUGGGAUGGGCCCGCGUCCCAUUAGCUAGUUGGUGAGGUAACGGCUCACCAAGGCGACGAUGGGUAGCCGGCCUGAGAGGGUGGACGGCCACACUGGGACUGAGACACGGCCCAGACUCCUACGGGAGGCAGCAGUAGGGAAUAUUGUGCAAUGGACGGAAGUCUGACGCAGCGACGCCGCGUGAGCGAUGAAGGUCUUCGGAUCGUAAAGCUCUGUCCUUGGGGAAGAAGGUCUUCGGACUUGACGGUACCCAAGAAGAAAGCCCCGGCUAACUACGUGCCAGCAGCCGCGGUAAUACGUAGGGGGCGAGCGUUGUCCGGAAUUACUGGGCGUAAAGGGUGCGUAGGCGGCCCUUUAAGUCGGAUGUGAAAGCCCGCGGCUUAACCGCGGAAUGGCAUUCGAAACUGGAGGGCUUGAGUGUCGGAGAGGGUAGUGGAAUUCCCAGUGUAGCGGUGAAAUGCGUAGAUAUUGGGAGGAACACCAGUGGCGAAGGCGACUACCUGGACGAUAACUGACGCUGAGGCACGAAAGCUAGGGGAGCAAACAGG
rnacentral:rRNA from 1 species